rnacentral:rRNA from 1 species
CUGCUGCCUUCCGUAGGAGUCUGGUCCGUGUCUCAGUACCAGUGUGGGGGACCUUCCUCUCAGAACCCCUACGCAUCGUCGCCUCGGUGGGCCGUUACCCCGCCGACUAGCUAAUGCGACGCAUGGCCAUCCUAUGCCGGAGUCGCCUCCUUUUGACCCCCAAGAAGAUGUCUCCUAAAGGUGUUAUGCGGUAUUAGACGGAAUUUCUUCCGCUUACUCCCCCUCGCAUAGGGCAGGUUCCAUACGUGUUACUCACCCGUGCGCCGG